rnacentral:rRNA from 1 species
GGUUAAGUGACUAAGCGUACACGGUGGAUGCCUGGGCAGUCAGAGGCGAUGAAGGACGUACUAACUUGCGAUAAGCGCAGAUAAGGCAGUAAGAGCCGUUUGAGUCUGCGAUUUCCGAAUGGGGAAACCCAACUGCAUAAGCAGUUACUGUUAACUGAAUACAUAGGUUAACAGAGCAAACCGGGGGAACUGAAACAUCUAAGUACCCCGAGGAGAAGAAAUCAACCGAGAUUCCGGUAGUAGCGGCGAGCGAACCUGGAUUAGCCCUUAAGCACUCGGUGAAGUAGGUGAACAAGCUGGAAAGCUUGGCGAUACAGGGUGAUAGCCCCGUAACCGACGCUUCAUCGAGCGUGAAAUCGAGUAGGGCGGGACACGUGAUAUCCUGUCUGAAUAUGGGGGGACCAUCCUCCAAGGCUAAAUACUCCUGACUGACCGAUAGUGAACCAGUACCGUGAGGGAAAGGCGAAAAGAACCCCUGUGAGGGGAGUGAAAUAGAACCUGAAACCGUGUACGUACAAGCAGUAGGAGCACCUUCGUGGUGUGACUGCGUACCUUUUGUAUAAUGGGUCAGCGACUUAUAUUCAGUGGCAAGGUUAACCGUAUAGGGGAGCCGUAGCGAAAGCGAGUCUUAACUGGGCGCUCAGUCUCUGGAUAUAGACCCGAAACCGGGUGAUCUAGCCAUGGGCAGGUUGAAGGUUGAGUAACAUCAACUGGAGGACCGAACCGACUAAUGUUGAAAAAUUAGCGGAUGACUUGUGGCUAGGGGUGAAAGGCCAAUCAAACUCGGAGAUAGCUGGUUCUCCCCGAAAGCUAUUUAGGUAGCGCCUCGGACGAAUACUACUGGGGGUAGAGCACUGUUAAGGCUAGGGGGUCAUCCCGACUUACCAACCCUUUGCAAACUCCGAAUACCAGUAAGUACUAUCCGGGAGACACACGGCGGGUGCUAACGUCCGUCGUGGAGAGGGAAACAACCCAGACCGCCAGCUAAGGUCCCAAAGUAUUGCUAAGUGGGAAACGAUGUGGGAAGGCUCAGACAGCUAGGAUGUUGGCUUAGAAGCAGCCAUCAUUUAAAGAAAGCGUAAUAGCUCACUAGUCGAGUCGGCCUGCGCGGAAGAUGUAACGGGGCUAAGCAAUACACCGAAGCUGCGGCAAUGUCUUUUAGACAUUGGGUAGGGGAGCGUUCUGUAAGCCGUUGAAGGUGAAUCGUA